rnacentral:rRNA from 1 species
UACCAGCUCUCCGAGUGGUAGGGAUGAUUAUUGGGCUUAAAGCGUCCGUAGCCGGCUUAGCAAGUCUCCUGUUAAAUUCAGCGACCUAAUCGUUGAGCCGCGGGAGAUACUACUAGGCUAGGAGGCGGGAGAGGUCAACGGUACUUCCGGGGUAGGGGUGAAAUCCUAUAAUCCCGGGAGGACCACCAGUGGCGAAGGCUGUUGACUAGAACGCGCUCGACGGUGAGGGACGAAAGCUGGGGGAGCGAACCGGAUUAGAUACCCGGGUAGUCCCAGCUGUAAACGAUGCGAGCUAGGUGUUGGGGUGGCUACGUGCCACUUCAGUGCCGCAGGGAAGCCAUUAAGCUCGCCGCCUGGGGAGUACGGCCGCAAGGCUAGAAACUUAAAGGAAUUGGGCGGGGAGCACCACAAGGCGUGAAGCUUGCGGUUC